AGCCUGCCCCUAAUCCGGCCUGCUGGGCUUUACAAGGAUCAGAGCAGCUGAUAAUGAACCUCAUUAAGGGGGAGCAGGAGCCUCAAUCCGAUCUGGGGUUUUCUCUUUGACAUCUUCACUCUGCUCAGAUGGCCUCGGCCCUGGGUGGACCAGGGCUCAGCAGCAUCGAUAAACCGGCUUCGCCCACCAGCUGGUCUCCUCCCCCACCCGGUCUGCCAGGCUGGGAGCCGGGGCUUCGGUGGCCUGAACUCCACCAGCCGUUCCAGGUUGUUCUCUGCACCCUGGAAGAGCUCCCCGGCAGGAGAGGGUCCUGCAAAGCAAAGGCUCCUGGUCCUGGGGCCGGACAGAGACACUUGCCUCCGCCUGCGAUGUUACCUACUGGGCAUUCAGGAACCAUCGCCUAGAGGAGGAGGAGGCAGCUGAGCUGGGUUUUGAAAGAUGAGUGGGGGUUAGCAAGGAAAAUAAGGAGGAAAAAUGCGUCACAGGCAGAGGAGAAAGCACGUGCCAAAUCCAACAAAGGAAAAAUAGUGAAUACAAGAAAUUCUAAGCAAAAAACUUUAAAAAAAAUUUUAAAGCUUUUUCAACGCUUACUAGGCUAGAAGCUGGGAAUAAACAGAGAAGAAAGACGUGGUCUCUGCUGUUAUGGAGCUUUCACUGUAGAGGAAAAGACAGACAAGGGAGAAAAAGAUGACAGAGUGUGGGAGCAAAAAUCCUUUCCCUGGGGCUGCCGAGCUCCCUGGAGGAAAGUGGGCCUCACGGCUGCCUGUUAAACCUCAUUCCUCCGCCUCGGCGAUGGCAGGGCUUGCCUCUCACCGGUGUCUGCCGAAGCCUCU
rnacentral:lncRNA from 1 species